rnacentral:lncRNA from 1 species
UCAAAGGCGGAGCGGAGCGCCAGGCGCUGGGAUUUUUGCAGUCCGCCUCCACCGCUCAGGCGGCGCUCCGGCCAGAAGUCACAGAUCACUGUAUAAUGUAUAUUGUAUAUAAAGUUUAAACUUUGAAUUUCUUAAAGUAUGUAAACUCUGUGUAUUAUACAGAUCACGGUAUAAAUGUAUAAUAGUAUAAAAACUUGAUUAGAACUUUAGAAGAAGAACAAAAAAAAAAAUUGGAUUUGAUUGGAUUUGAUAUGGAUUGGAUUUGAUUUAUUAUGAAUUUGAUUGAUUAAAAGAAUAACAAUUUGAUUUGAUUAAUUAUGAACUUACUGUGAGCACGAUAUAGCAGGCAAUAGAGAUCGAGAACGAAGCAAUAGAGGAGAGAGAUCGAGAACGAAGCAAUAACAAUGACAGGAGAGAGAACAACGAAGCAGGAGAGAGAACGAAUUUGAGAAU